UGUGAACUUUUGACAAGAAACGGAACAGUUUAAGUGCGUCUGACUCUAAAGAGCUCCAGUUCCUAUGAACUAGCCUUUAAACCACCUAAUCAAAUCAUAACCUCACCAGCCGUGGCCGCCAGCCAGUGUGAUGCCUGUGCAUCUGCCGCACUGAGACUAUUUCACAUUUUAUAAAGGCAAAUGCCCUUGCUAAGCGUUUGGAAGAUAGUGGCUGAGCUGUGCAGCUUUUCUGCCACCAUCGAUUCUUACCCCGCCCCCUGCCUCAAAGCCCAGCUGGAGAAGAGAUAGCCGCCCUCCCCGAGGUCACCAGGAUCAUGCUGUCUCCCUGACUGAAGGAUAUCACUAAGUCACCCCUUUGUCUUCACGUCUUCAGCUUACACAGACUCAAUUUCCGCUCAAUUUUCCAUUUUACUCUGCCCUUUGAGGUCUGAAGCCUGCUAUUUACCUUCUGAGCUCCUGGAUAAGCGGCACCUCUUGCCUUCGAGGCUCUUGGAGCACCUGCCCAAGAUGUAAACAAUCCCCAGGGCCUGUGAAUUCUGCCUAGCAGAGAUGUCUUCACGUCUGCAAGUUCAUCUUGCGUGUCAGCACGUUGGCUCAGUCUUGUAAUACGUAUUCAUCUCUAUUUAUUGCAUGCUCCAUUGAGCUAUGAGGCACUGGGAAACAGAAGCUUCCUCAGCCUUGAGUCUAUAUCGUGCAGACAGAAGCCACUAUCUGGUUGAUAUAAGAGAACAGCAGACAGUGUCAGCUUCCAGCUUUCCUCGGUUCUUCUAGUCCUCCAGCAUCUCCAGGACGAAGCAGCCAGGAAUGAAAUGGUCAUUGAUCUCUUGAACUUCCAGCAGCCGUGCUUACUCACGGGAGACCUACGGAAGAGUGGGAGCACUAAAGAGAACUCAGAACAGCUGACCCCAGUGAGCAGGUCAUGCAUCCCAAAGAUCAACUGUCCCAUUUCAGUGGAAUCAAGGGAUGGACACAGAAGGACCACUACUCACUAUUGGACCAGGAAAAGAAGGAAGUUGUCUGGCUCGGAGGAGAUUAAUCCUGAUUGCUGAGAGGAACCUGGACAGGGAGCCUUGGAAUCCCCGAUGGUCGUAAAGUCCCCUAUUAGCUGGUGAUGUGGAUUUUUGAGGUGGCAUGGGCCUGAGCAGGCAUGGAAUGGAGAGACAGACAACCCUGGCAACCUUUGGCAGGGGUUGACACCCAACUGUCACGGUGAUAAUGAAGUGAGAAGAGCGCCAUCUUCACAUUCCUUCUACACUGCGCUUGAUUCAGGUGCAUAGUGGCAAAGAACAGUCAAACUGCUGUGGCCUUGCAGUACCCUCCGGCAGAUUCCAGCAAGUCCAGGCACCUGUUCCGAUACCCACAGCAACUGUGAGUCAUAACUUUAUUUUCUUAUCUACUGCCUUCUUUCUUUGCUGUGAGACAACGGUUUGUACCCUGUUAACUGUAUUUUAAUAAAAUGCUGAUUGGCCAGUAGCCAGGCAGGAAGAAUAGGCAGGGCAACCAGGCAGGAAGUAGAGGCGGGGCAAUGAAAACAGGGGAAUUCUGGGAAGAGGGAAGUCCAGUCUCCUGUUGUGACCCAGCUACAGAGGUUACAAGAUGUGAUUGCCUCGCCAAGAAAGGUACUGAGCCAUGUGGCUAACUCAGACAAGAAUUAUGUAAGUUAUAAAAUUAGUAAAUAAG